rnacentral:rRNA from 1 species
CAGGCUUAACACAUGCAAGUCGAGGGGCAGCAUGGUCUUAGCUUGCUAAGACUGAUGGCGACCGGCGCACGGGUGAGUAACACGUAUCCAACCUGCCGUCUACUCUUGGACAGCCUUCUGAAAGGAAGAUUAAUACAAGAUGGCAUCAUGAGUCCGCAUGUUCACAUGAUUAAAGGUAUUCCGGUAGACGAUGGGGAUGCGUUCCAUUAGAUAGUAGGCGGGGUAACGGCCCACCUAGUCUUCGAUGGAUAGGGGUUCUGAGAGGAAGAUCCCCCACAUUGGAACUGAGACACGGUCCAAACUCCUACGGGAGGCAGCAGUGAGGAAUAUUGGUCAAUGGGCGAGAGCCUGAACCAGCCAAGUAGCGUGAAGGAUGACUGCCCUAUGGGUUGUAAACUUCUUUUAUAAAGGAAUAAAGUCGGGUAUGCAUACCCGUUUGCAUGUACUUUAUGAAUAAGGAUCGGCUAACUCCGUGCCAGCAGCCGCGGUAAUACGGAGGAUCCGAGCGUUAUCCGGAUUUAUUGGGUUUAAAGGGAGCGUAGAUGGAUGUUUAAGUCAGUUGUGAAAGUUUGCGGCUCAACCGUAAAAUUGCAGUUGAUACUGGAUAUCUUGAGUGCAGUUGAGGCAGGCGGAAUUCGUGGUGUAGCGGUGAAAUGCUUAGAUAUCACGAAGAACUCCGAUUGCGAAGGCAGCCUGCUAAGCUGCAACUGACAUUGAGGCUCGAAAGUGUGGGUAUCAAACAGGAUUAGAUACCCUGGUAGUCCACACGGUAAACGAUGAAUACUCGCUGUUUGCGAUAUACGGCAAGCGGCCAAGCGAAAGCGUUAAGUAUUCCACCUGGGGAGUACGCCGGCAACGGUGAAACUCAAAGGAAUUGACGGGGGCCCGCACAAGCGGAGGAACAUGUGGUUUAAUUCGAUGAUACGCGAGGAACCUUACCCGGGCUUAAAUUGCAGAUGAAUUACGGUGAAAGCCGUAAGCCGCAAGGCAUCUGUGAAGGUGCUGCAUGGUUGUCGUCAGCUCGUGCCGUGAGGUGUCGGCUUAAGUGCCAUAACGAGCGCAACCCUUGUUGUCAGUUACUAACAGGUUCCGCUGAGGACUCUGACAAGACUGCCAUCGUAAGAUGUGAGGAAGGUGGGGAUGACGUCAAAUCAGCACGGCCCUUACGUCCGGGGCUACACACGUGUUACAAUGGGGGGUACAGAGGGCCGCUACCACGCGAGUGGAUGCCAAUCCCCAAAACCUCUCUCAGUUCGGACUGGAGUCUGCAACCCGACUCCACGAAGCUGGAUUCGCUAGUAAUCGCGCAUCAGCCACGGCGCGGUGAAUACGUUCCCGGGCCUUGUACACACCGCCCGUCAAGCCAUGGGAGCCGGGGGUACCUGAAGUGCGUAACCGCGAGGAGCGCCCUAGGGUAAAACUGGUGACUGGGGC